GAGCUGAGAAGCCCCAGUUUCCACUUUCUGACUCCUGGACUCAGCUGAUUUGAACCCCUCAGUAGAACAGCAGCAGCCCAUCCGCAGCUUUCCUAGAAGUUCCUGACUUAGCAACCCGAAAAGCGUUCUAAUCAAGUGAGAAUUCAUCACUCUCAUUGGGACUUGUGAAAAUGGGAAAACAUCUGAAUAAUGGCUAUUGCUGGGGCUUUGGAACCAGAUGGACCUAUCUUCUUCCUCGGCCGCAUGCAGAUCCUGGACACCUGGACAAGAUAACAAAGGUGGUGUCUAGAGCAAGCUGGGCUCCUCCUUGCUUGAUCCUCAGGACUUCCCCAAGGAUGAAUCAAGUUAUUCCACUUCCAAGGAGAUGUGCUUACAUUUGAAACAUUGUAUCAGUUACUUUACCACAAUAAAGACAAAUGAUGGGAGGAGAAAAGAGGAGGGAAAUGACAGAAGAAAUGGCUGUCAGAAGGAGAAAGCAGUACUGGCUGACAUGUGAGAAGAACUGAUGAGAGCGGGGCCCUACAGAGAGAGAGAAGCACUGCCUAGAGGAACUGCCGGCUCA